CAGCUGCGAUAAGUAGUGUGAAUUGCAGAACUCAGCGAAUCAUCGAAUCUUUGAACGCAAAUGGCGCUCCCUGGUUCUCCAGGGAGCAUGUCUGUCUGAGCGUCAUGUCAAGAACCUACACACACUUGUGCUCUGCCUAGUGCAGUGUAAGCAAGUGUGUGGCGUUGAGACAUCACAGCCACUCACAGCUAGUGCGUGACUGCGUGUCUUGAAGUGAAGUAUCACGGCUCCAAACUCGUGCAAUCGAGUGAGAGCAGCAAAACGUACUGCUGUUUACAGCACACAUACUGUCUGCCUCUCCUUGCAACGGCGAGCCUUUGAGGAAGUGAUAAUCAUUUUGAUUCAUUUUAUCAUUUUGAUGAUUGAUUCAAAAAAGUUACUAUUGGAUAACAACAAUAGCAACAAUUGUGAUUUUGACCUCAGAUCAGGCAAGACUACCCGCUGAAUUUAA
rnacentral:rRNA from 1 species